CCUACGGGUGGCAGCAGUGGGGAAUAUUGGACAAUGGGGGGAACCCUGAUCCAGCCAUGCCGCGUGUGUGAAGAAGGCCCUCGGGUUGUAAAGCACUUUCAGUGAGGAAGAACGCCUGGUGGUUAAUACCCAUCAGGAAAGACAUCACUCACAGAAGAAGCACCGGCUAACUCCGUGCCAGCAGCCGCGGUAAUACGGAGGGUGCGAGUGUUAAUCGGAAUUACUGGGCGUAAAGCGCGCGUAGGUGGCUUGAUAAGCCGGUUGUGAAAGCCCCGGGCUCAACCUGGGAACGGCAUCCGGAACUGUCAAGCUAGAGUGCAGGAGAGGAAGGUAGAAUUCCCGGUGUAGCGGUGAAAUGCGUAGAGAUCGGGAGGAAUACCAGUGGCGAAGGCGGCCUUCUGGACUGACACUGACACUGAGGUGCGAAAGCGUGGGUAGCAAACAGGAUUAGAUACCCUUGUAGUC
rnacentral:rRNA from 1 species